UAAAUUUUAGGAAGGUGUCCUUAAUGUUUUGUACACUAAGUGUAUAUUUGAACAAAUCUGUCACUUCAUUGAGAAAUGUUUAAUGCUACACAAAUUAAUUUGUAAAUGUGUUUGUAUUGGAAUUAUUAAAAUACCUUGUCAGAAGGAAAACUUUUACUGUUUAAAAAAAAAAGUUCAAAUAGUGCAGUUGGAAGUGAUUUGAAAAUAGACAACAGAAACUUAAAAUCUAUAACAAUGUAGAAUAGCUGGAACGUUAUGUUCAAACAAACCUAUACUCAACCUUGAAUGCAUGAGGUUUGUGUAGAAUGUGAAUGGACUCAAGCCACAUAGCCCUUCGGGACUCAUGGUGACUGGAGCAUGAACAUUGAGGUUUAGCUAAGAUGGGUAUGAAAUAUAGUCCACACACCCUGGGGCAUUCUUUAUGUGGGUGCUGCACAUUGUGCCUGCUUGGAAUCUGGGCUCUGGGGGGUCUGUGUCUGGUGUCUUCCCCUUACAUACACCUUCUCACUGCAGGAGAGGCUUUACUCUGAUAAUUUGAUCUUCCACCAGCCAAGAUAAGACAGCAAUCUAUCUGAUGAUAUUUCUAUAAUCCUGUCUUAUGUUUGUAUGAAUAAUUGGAGGAAUUUAACAGUUUCAAGCUUUAUAACAUACACAUUCAAGUAUACUUUUAACUGCCUCCCCUACUCAUUCAUAUGCUUUUUAAAGUACAGUAAUAAAAAAAAUAAGUCCAGAAUAUAUGGCUUCUUCUGUAAACACACACAGUUUCACCAACUCUUUUCAUUUCCUGCUUUAUCACAAACAAGGUUAAUCAAGAACCAACUAGGGUGAUAGUAGAGUUGUUCCAACAGGAGAGGAGUGUUACAUCUGCUCCUGCCACGCUCUCAACUGCUCAUCCGGUGACUCCUUGACCGGCCGCCACUCCCCCAGUGCUCUUUUCCUCUCUCUGUGUGUGUGUGUGUAUGAUUGUGUGGGCGGAGACAGGUGUGCUGGAGUCAGAGCAGAUCCCCACCAGCUGCAACCUGUUCCAUAAUCAAGACUUCUACAAAUACUCAGCCCUGCCACUUCCACGCUGCCAGAUCGUAAUCUCUGCUCAUUCUGCCCACUCUGACUCUGGUCCCUGUCUCCAGUCCUACGUCUCGUCAGUCCUGCUACUCUGUCCUGGAUCCCCCACUCUAUGGUUCUCUUGGAUUCCCCUCCCGGAUUCCCCUUAGCCUCCACACCUGGUUUCCUGCAACCCGCCUGAGCUUCCCCUGGCCUGACCUCAAUCUUCCCCCUGUGUUUCAAUAAAUAACUUGGCUACCUCA